GAUGAACGCUGGCGGCGUGCCUAACACAUGCAAGUGGAGCGACGAACCCGGACUUGUCCGGGGGCAAAGCCGCGAACGGGUGAGUGACACGUGGAUUAUCUGCCCCAAUGACCGGGACAACCCGAGGAAACUCGGGCUAAUACCGGAUGUGCUCUCCGGAGGAAAGGAAGCUUCGGCCUCCGCAUUGGGAUGAGUCCGCGGCGCAUUAGCUAGUUGGUGGGGUAAUGGCCUACCAAGGCGACGAUGCGUAGCUGGUCUGAGAGGACGAUCAGCCACACUGGAACUGAGACACGGUCCAGACUCCUACGGGAGGCAGCAGUGGGGAAUCUUGCGCAAUGCACGAAAGUGUGACGCAGCAACGCCGCGUGCGGGAAGAAGGUCUUCGGAUCGUAAACCGCUUUCAGUUGGGACGAGGGUCAGCUGGUGAAUAGCCAGUCUGACUGACGGUACCUUCAGAAGAAGCCCCGGCUAACUUCGUGCCAGCAGCCGCCGUAACAC
rnacentral:rRNA from 1 species